GGAAGGUAUCAGCUGGCUGCAGAGAGAUGGAAGGUAUCAGCUUGCAGCAGAGAGAUGGAAGGUAUCAGCUUGCUGCAGAGAGAUGGGAGGUAUCAGCUUGCAGCAGAGAGAUGGGAGGUAUCAGCUUGCAGCAGAGAGAUGGAAGGUAUCAGCUUGCUGCAGAGAGAUGGAAGGUAUCAGCUUGCUGCAGAGAGAUGGAAGGUAUCAGUGCAGAGAGAUGGAAGGUAUCAGCUUGCUGCAGAGAGAUGGGAGGUAUCAGCUUGCAGCAGAGAGAUGGGAGGUAUCAGCUUGCAGCAGAGAGAUGGGAGGUAUCAGCUUGCAGCAGAGAGAUGGAAGGUAUCAGCUUGCUGCAGAGAGAUGGAAGGUAUCAGCUUGCUGCAGAGAGAUGGAAGGUAUCAGUGCAGAGAGAUGGAAGGUAUCAGCUUGCUGCAGAGAGAUGGGAGGUAUCAGCUUGCAGCAGAGAGAUGGGAGGUAUCAGCUUGCAGCAGAGAGAUGGGAGGUAUCAGCUUGCAGCAGAGAGAUGGAAGGUAUCAGCUUGCUGCAGAGAGAUGGAAGGUAUCAGCUUGCUGCAGAGAGAUGGAAGGUAUCAGUGCAGAGAGAUGGAAGGUAUCAGCUUGCUGCAGAGA